rnacentral:rRNA from 1 species
GCCAGACUCCUACGGGAGGCAGCAGUAAGGGAUAUUGGUCAAUGGGGGAAACCCUGAACCAGCAACGCCGCGUGAGGGAAGACGGUUUUCGGAUUGUAAACCUCUGUCCUCUGUGAAGAUAAUGACGGUAUCUAACGAAUAAGCACCGGCUAACUCCGUGCCAGCAGCCGCGGUAAUACGGAGGGUGCAAGCGUUACUCGGAAUCACUGGGCGUAAAGAGCGCGUAGGCGGGAUAGCAAGUCAGAUGUGAAAUCCUAUGGCUUAACCAUAGAACUGCAUUUGAAACUGUUAUUCUAGAGUAUGGGAGAGGUAGGUGGAAUUCUUGGUGUAGGGGUAAAAUCCGUAGAGAUCAAGAGGAAUACUCAUUGCGAAGGCGACCUGCUAGAACAUAACUGACGCUGAUGCGCGAAAGCGUGGGGAGCAAACAGGAUUAGAUACCCUAGUAUA